rnacentral:rRNA from 1 species
GCGUAAGUAAUACUACCCUGGCAUCUGGAAUAACUCACCGAAAGGUGUGCUAAUACCGGAUACGUUGAUUUAUCAAGAAAGGUGGCCUCUUCAUGAAAGCUACUGUGCUGGGAGGAGCUUGCGUACCAUUAGCUAGUUGGUGGGGUAAUGGCCUACCAAGGCGACGAUGGUUAGCGGGUCUGAGAGGAUGAUCCGCCACACUGGAACUGGAACACGGACCAGACUCCUACGGGAGGCAGCAGUGAGGAAUAUUGCGCAAUGGGGGAAACCCUGACGCAGCGACGCCGCGUGGAUGAUGAAGGCUUUCGGGUCGUAAAAUCCUGUCAGAUGGGAAGAAAUGCUAUAUGCCUAAUAUGUGUAUAGUUUGACGGUACCAUCAAAGGAAGCACCGGCUAACUCCGUGCCAGCAGCCGCGGUAAUACGGAGGGUGCAAGCGUUGUUCGGAAUUACUGGGCGUAAAGCGCGCGUAGGCGGCUUUUUAAGUCAGAUGUGAAAGUCCACGGCUCAACCGUGGAAGUGCAUUUGAUACUGGGAAGCUUGAGUACUGGAGGGGAUGGUGGAAUUCCCGGUGU